UUUCUUACGCAGCAAUUUCAUUGUAACCUCUACCAGUUCGAAUUUUCAAAACGGCUUAAUUCAGGAUAAUCUUCUGUACGAUGUCAUCUGGUAAACACUUUUCGCUAAACACUUUUUCAGGCACAUUCCCUUUCUAACAGAAUUGUUCCAGAAUGAGAAACAGUCAGAAGAGAGACUUAAGGUGAGAUGUCUCAUGAAUCCAGUAAAGUUGAUAUGAGCCAGGUGUGAGACAAGCAUAUUGGCUGAAAAGGAACAAUUCCAGAACAGAGCAGAAAACAUGUGUGGAAAAGUAUGGUGUAGUUUGUGGACUCAAAGAUGGCUUUGUAUCCAGUAACAAAGAGCAAACAACCUACCAUGACACAUGAACCUUGUAACAGCCUUUGUCAAGAGAGAGUCUCUGUGGCUCAGUGUCCGAUUGUGGGGUUGAUUCAGAAAGUCUGAGAUUUGAUUCCCCAUCAGGAUUGUUAUGUCCCCUACUUGUGAUGCAACAAAAAACAUCCUUCUUGAUCAUAUUAAACCAAACUUGCUUUGUAUUCAUUUUAUGCCCUUGCAAGCAACUGAAACAAGAUUUCAACCUAUUGGUGAUAUAAAUAAUCCUCCAUUUUGUUUAGAUCUUUAAAUUUUCACCUGCUCCUAGAGUUCACACUCCUAAGAUAUAGAACUCAUUCAAAACUUAACUUACUCAAUUAUGGCUUAUUUGAGGGAAAAGGCACAGUAUUAGCAUCAGCCAAGCAAUCUAUUUUCUGAUAUGUUAGUUAACCCUUCAACUCCCAAGAUCUAAUUGCUAAUUCUCCCCUCAAGCUGCUACACAUUUCUUUGUAAGUUAGUUAUGAGAAUUUGAUGUUAGAUCAAGACAACAACUUC